ACUGUCAAUCUUUUGUGAGAAACCCAUAAGAGCAGAAGAUGGGUCGCUCAGCAGCAGUACCUGGAUUUGGGAACUCAUUACUGGUGGAGAUUAGGAUGACCACAAAUCUCUCUGGCUUUAAAGCAAAGCAAAGCGAAAAACUUACUUCCUUGGCUUAGUUCUCACUUUUUCAUGUUCUCCAGAUGAAGGUGAGAAAGAAGAAGAGAGAGGAAAGAAGCAAAGGAAAAAGGAAGACUGAGAGAAGAAAGCAAACAGAGGGAAGAGAUGGGAAGAUGGUAGACAAUGCCCUUAGAAGGACCCUCACUGAGAGAAAUGGGAAGACAGCUCUCAGAGAAGGGAAUGGGUGCCCAGAUCGCAACUUGUUUGAAGCAUUGCCACCCAAAAAGACACAAGCAAACAGACUUCAGGACUUCCAGUGAAGACAACCAGAAAAACAGUGCUAACCAAAGCGUUCUAAAAGGAAACAGUGAGGAAGGUCUCUUCAGAAGUGCAAAACUCAACUAAAAUAAAACUCUAAUGAAGAAACA
rnacentral:lncRNA from 1 species